UGGGAGGGGGGUUGGAGGGGAAGGUUCCUUUGAGGCUUUUGACAGCACCAGCUAAGUGGUUUUCUUCUCCUCCUCCUAUUCCUUUUUCUCCAUAUUCUCCUCUUCCUCCUCUAUCUUCAAUUUUUUUUUAACCUAGUGCAAGAUUCUUCUUCAGUACCACUGCCCACAUUCCUGGUUGCUGGAGGGAGCCUGGCCUUCGGAACGCUCCUCUGCAUUGCCAUUGUUCUGAGGUUCAAGAAGACGUGGAAGCUGCGGGCUCUGAAGGAAGGCAAGACAAGCAUGCAUCCGCCGUACUCUUUGGGGCAGCUGGUCCCGGAGAGGCCUCGACCCACCCCAGUGCUUGUUCCUCUCAUCUCCCCACCGGUGUCCCCCAGCAGCCUGGGGUCUGACAAUACCUCGAGCCACAACCGACCAGAUGCCAGGGACCCACGGAGCCCUUAUGACAUCAGCAAUACAGACUACUUCUUCCCCAGAUAGCUGGCUGGGUGGCACCAGCAGCCUGGACCCUGUGGAUGACAAAACACAAACGGGCUCAGCAAAAGAUGCUUCUCACUGCCAUGCCAGCUUAUCUCAGGGGUGUGCGGCCUUUGGCUUCACGGAAGAGCCUUGCGGAAGGUUCUACGCCAGGGGAAAAUCAGCCUGCUCCAGCUGUUCAGCUGGUUGAGGUUUCAAACCUCCCUUUCCAAAUGCCCAGCUUGAAGGGGUUAGAGUGAACUUGGGCCACUGUGAAGAGAACCAUAUCAAGACUCUUUGGACACUCACACGGACACUCAAAAGCUGGGCAGGUUGGUGGGGGCCUCGGUGUGGAGAAGCGGCUGGCAGCCCACCCCUCAACACCUCUGCACAAGCUGCACCCUCAGGCAGGUGGGAUGGAUUUCCAGCCAAAGCCUCCUCCAGCCGCCAUGCUCCUGGCCCACUGCAUUGUUUCAUCUUCCAACUCAAACUCUUAAAACCCAAGUGCCUUCGCAAAUUCUGUUUUUCUAGGCCUGGGGACGGCUUUUACUUAAACCGCCAAGGCUGGGGGAAGAAGCUCUCUCCUCCCUUUCUUCCCUACAGUUGAAAAACAGCUGAGGGUGAGUGGGUGAAUAAUACAGUAUCUCAGGGCCUGGUCGUUUUCAACAGAAUUAUAAUUAGUUCCUCAUUAGCAUUUUGCUAAAUGUGAAUGAUGAUCCUAGGCAUUUGCUGAAUACAGAGGCAACUGCAUUGGCUUUGGGUUGCAGGACCUCAGGUGAGAAGCAGAGGAAGGAGAGGAGAGGGGCACAGGGUCUCUACCAUCCCCUGUAGAGUGGGAGCUGAGUGGGGGAUCACAGCCUCUGAAAACCAGUGUUCUCUCUUCUCCACCUCCCACAAAGGAGAGCUAGCAGCAGGGAGGGCUUCUGCCAUUGCUGAGAUCAAAACGGUUUUACUGCAGCUUUGUUUGUUGUCAGCUGAACCUGGGUAACUAGGGAAGAUAAUAUUAAGGAAGACAAUGUGAAAAGAAAAAUGAGCCUGGCAAGAAUGCGUUUAAACUUGGUUUUUAAAAAACUGCUGACUGUUUUCUCUUGAGAGGGUGGAAUAUCCAAUAUUCGCUGUGUCAGCAUAGAAGUAACUUACUUAGGUGUGGGGGAAGCACCAUAACUUUGUUUAGCCCAAAACCAAGUCAAGUGAAAAAGGAGGAAGAGAAAAAAUAUUUUCCUGCCAGGCAUGGUGGCCCACGCACUUCGGGAGGUCGAGGCAGGAGGAUCACUUGAGUCCAGGAGUUUGAGAUCAGCCUGGGCAAUGUGAUAAAACCCCAUCUCUACAAAAAGCAUAAAAAUUAGCCAAGUGUGGUAGAGUGUGCCUGAAGUCCCAGAUACUUGGGGGGCUGAGGUGGGAGGAUCUCUUGAGCCUGGGAGGUCAAGGCUGCAGUGAGCCGAGAUUGCACCACUGCACUCCAGCCUGGGUGACAGAGCAAGUGAGACCCUGUCUCAAAAAAAAAAAAAAAAAAAGAAAAAGAAAAAGAAAAAGAAACAAUAUUUUCCCCAUUAGAGAAGAGAUUGUGGUUUCAUUCUGUAUUUUGUUUUUGUCUUAAAAAGUGGAAAAAUAGCCUGCCUCUUCUCUACUCUAGGGAAAAACCAGCGUGUGACUACUCCCCCAGGUGGUUAUGGAGAGGGUGUCCGGUCCCUGUCCCAGUGCCGAGAAGGAAGCCUCCCACGACUACCCGGCAGGGUCCUAGAAAUUCCCCACCCUGAAAGCCCUGAGCUUUCUGCUAUCAAAGAGGUUUUAAAAAAAUCCCAUUAAAAAAAAAUCCCUUACCUCGGUGCCUUCCUCUUUUUAUUUAGUUCCUUGAGUUGAUUCAGCUCUGCAAGAAUUGAAGCAGGACUAAAUGUCUAGUUGUAACACCAUGAUUAACCACUUCAGCUGACUUUUCUGUCCGAGCUUUGAAAAUUCAGUGGUGUUAGUGGUUACCCAGUUAGCUCUCAAGUUAUCAGGGUAUUCCAGAGUGGGGAUAUGAUUUAAAUCAGCCGUGUAACCAUGGACCCAAAAUUUACCAGACCACAAAACUUUUCUAAUACUCUACCCUCUUAGAAAAACCACCACCAUCACCAGACAGGUGUGAAAGGAUGAAAGUGACCAUGUUUUGUUUACGGUUUUCCAGGUUUAAGCUGUUACUGUCUUCAGUAAGCCGUGAUUUUCAUUGCUGGGCUUGUCUGUAGAUUUUAGACCCUAUUGCUGCUUGAGGCAACUCAUCUUAGGUUGGCAAAAAGGCAGGAUGGCCGGGCGCGGUGGCUCACGCCUGUAAUCCUAGCACUUUGGGAGGCCAAGGUGGGAGGAUUGCUUGAGCUCAGGAGUUUGAGACCAACCUGGGUAACAUAGUGAGACACCAUCUCUAUUAUGAACAAUAACAGUUAAGAAAAAAAAAGGCAGGCAGGUGGUUAUGGUGGUUCCCUCCCAUCCCACCACAUAAAGUUUCUGAGACUUGAGAACAGCAAAAUGCUGUUAAAGGGAAAUAUUAAGAAUGAGAAUCUGCAGUAAGGGUGAUUCUGUGCCCACAGUUCUUCAAUUCUUUAUACCGUUUUACCCACAUGUGGUGUUACCAAAGCCGGGCAGAACCAUGCUAGCGGAAGAUGUGAAAUCCAGAUAGCUCAUUAUUGCCCAGAGCUAGGCAGCUUUGAUCUCCGAAUUGUUAUUGCUUUCAUUUUUAUUGUAAUGGAAUUGCUUUGUUUUGUUUUGUUUUUUUGUUUUUGUAUUGAAGAGGGUUGCUUUCCCUUUAUUUUUCAUAAGCUAAUGUAAAUGAAGAAAAAAUGUCUUCUCUGGGCUGUAGGCCUGGUUCAGCGUACACAGGUAUACAUCCUAAGCUCUCUAUGUUCUCUAAUCUGUGGUGACUGAGCAUGUGUCUCAAUGCACGGGGCAUUUCUACCUGUGUUUCUGCAGCACCCCCACUGCCUUGAGUCCCCAGCAGUGCUGUUAUUUGCCUAACACCUGUAGCCAUCUGCCACGCAGCCAGACGUGAAACGCUGAGACAGAGACCAUUUAGGUUAAAUACGACAGCUUAUCCUGCUGGAUGGGGAAAGUAAAAAAUAUGCUGGUUCAAGGCCUAAAGUAAAAUGAUCAAUAAUGUUUGUAGCAUUAAUGAAAUAUUUUCAAGAAAUGUGUCCAGGGGUAGCACUGGCUAUGUUGACGAGGCCUUUGGUAACUCAGAGAGCUCUUGGCCCUGAUGGGGACUUGCCCUUGCGCUUUCUUUAUCAGGCUCUGAGUUCACACGGAGCCUCUGGCACUUCCCUGCUGUCUUGGGAGAAAGGAAACUGGUUGCCGCGGCAGGUUGUGGAAUCUGUUGCUGGAACCAGGCUGGAAGCCCACCUGGUAGUGAACAGGGCCCAGUGGGGCAGGCUGGGCAUGUUGUGGUCUAUGGGUUUGUUUCCUGGAGAAUGUUCAGGAAUGUCUUCCCGGCUGCUUUGGUGCUGAGCUCUAUUAUCUCACAGCACGUCCAGAAGGCUAACCCAGGUGGGGAGGAUGCUGACACCAGCUCCAGGUGGAGUUGGUGGUCUUAAUUUGGAGAUGCAGGGGCAACCUGUGACCCUUUGAGGCAAGAGCCCUGCACCCGGCUGUCCCGUGCAGCCGUGGGCAGGGGCUGCACACGGAGGGGCAGGCGGGCCAGUUCAGGGUCCGUGCCAGGCCCUCCUCAGUGCCCUGUGAAGGCCUCCUGUCCUCCGUGCGGCUGGGCGCCAGCACCAGGGAGUUUCUAUGGCAACCUUAGUGAUUAUUAAGGAACACUGUCAGUUUUAUGAACAUAUGCUCAAAUGAAAUUCUACUUUAGGAGGAAAGGAUUGGAACAGCAUGUCACAAGGCUGUUAAUUAACAGAGAGACCUUAUUGGAUGGAGAUCACAUCUGUUAAAUAGAAUACCUCAACUCUACGUUGUUUUCUUGGAGAUAAAUAAUAGUUUCAAGUUUUUGUUUGUUUGUUUUACCUAAUUACCUGAAAGCAAAUACCAAAGGCUGAUGUCUGUAUAUGGGGCAAAGGGUCAGUAUAUUUUUCAGUGUUUU
rnacentral:lncRNA from 1 species